rnacentral:rRNA from 1 species
AGAAUUCCGUUACGACGAGACCUUAACUGCUAACAAGUCUGCUUGUAAAUAACAGGUUGUACUUCUUACAGGGACUAUUGUGCAAUAAGCCAAUGGAAGUUUAAGGCAAUAACAGGUCUGUGAUGCCCCUAGACGUGCUCGGCCGCACGCGCGUUACAAUGACUGGCGCAAAAAGUAUUUCCUGUCCUGGGAAGGUACGGGUAAUCUUAUUAAUACCAGUCGUGUUAGGGAUAGUUCUUUGGAAUUGUGGAUCUUGAACGAGGAAUUUCUAGUAAGUGCAAGUCAUCAGCUUGCGUUGAUUAUGUCCCUGCCGUUUGUACACACCGCCCGUCGCUUGUAGUAACGAAUGGUCUGGUGAACCUUCUGGACUGCGACAGCAAUGUUGCGGAAAAAUAAGUAAACCCUACCAUUUGGAACAACAAGAAGUCGUAACAAGGUAUCUGUAGGUGAACCUGCAGAUGGAUCAUUA